AACGAACGCUGGCGGCAGGCCUAACACAUGCAAGUCGAGCGCCCCAGCAAUGGGGAGCGGCAGACGGGUGAGUAACGCGUGGGUAUCUACCUAGUGGUGCGGAAUAGCCCAGGGAAACUUGGAGUAAUACCGCAUAAGCCCGAAAGGGGAAAGAUUUAUCGCCAUUAGAUGAGCCCGCGUUGGAUUAGCUAGUUGGUGGGGUAACGGCCCACCAAUGCGACGAUCCAUAGCUGGUCUGAGAGGAUGAUCAGCCACACUGGGACUGAGACACGGCCCAGACUCCUACGGGAGGCAGCAGUGGGGAAUAUUGGACAAUGGGCGCAAGCCUGAUCCAGCCAUGCCGCGUGAGUGACGAAGGUCUUCGGAUUGUAAAGCUCUUUUGGCGGGGACGAUAAUGACGGUACCCGCAGAAUAAGCCCCGGCUAACUUCGUGCCAGCAGCCGCG
rnacentral:rRNA from 1 species